rnacentral:rRNA from 1 species
UACGUAGGGCGCAAGCGUUGUCCGGAAUUAUUGGGCGUAAAGAGCUCGUAGGUGGCGUGUCGCGUCUGCCGUGAAAGCCCAUGGCUUAACUGUGGGUCUGCGGUGGAUACGGGCAGGCUGGAGGCUGGUAGGGGCAAGCGGAAUUCCUGGUGUAGCGGUGAAAUGCGCAGAUAUCAGGAGGAACACCGGUGGCGAAGGCGGCUCUCUGGUACGGAACUGACGCUGAGACGCGAAAGCGUGGGAAGCGAACAGG